GUUACCUGCCGCAUAGGCAGCUUAGAAA
rfam:Spirochaeta africana DSM 8902, complete genome.